rfam:Aedes albopictus isolate Foshan contig9798, whole genome shotgun sequence.
UUAAAGGAUUUUUUGAAAUCCAUAAAUGAUACAUUUAAUUCAUUU